rnacentral:misc_RNA from 3 species
AACGCACAUUGCGCCUCUUGGUAUUCCGAGGGGCAUGUCUGUUUGAGCGUCAGUACACACCUCCUAUGAGAUUUUUCUCGCAGGGUCUUGGGAAGGCCACCGCUCCGGCACGGCCCCCCUAAUGUGGCACGCUUGCGGGCUUUCGGUCAGAUGUCAACGUAGUAAAUUUCAACUCGCUGCAGCUUUCCGAGGGCCUCGCCUGAAUCAAACUUCUAUGGUUUGACCUCAGAUCAGACAAGGAUACCCGCUGAACUUAA